rnacentral:lncRNA from 1 species
AUUGUAAUAUAUGUUUUAAAAGAAUCUGAAUCAAAUCGAACUUAUUCUAAUUCGAUUCGAAUUUGAAUUUUUAAUUGAAUACGAAUUGGGUUUUUUAUUCGAAUUGAAUUGGGUAGGUUUUAAUCGAAUUCGAAUUCAAGGCAAAAUAAAAAUUAUUCGAAUAAUUUGAAAAUUAGAUAUUCAAUUCGAUGAACACCCAAAUUCGGCUUAGGAAACUUGGAGCCAAAAUUAUUGUAACUAAGGUUUUCUGUUUCACUGAUGAGGUUUAUAAACAUAUGUACGGGGUCUCAUUUUAUUCAUCCACUUAUUAAGAUACAAAACCUAGCAUGACCACACCCCCCAAGUUGUCACUUGCCCCCUCUUACCUUUUGCCUCUGUACGUAAGAGAGAACUAAGACCAAGAGGUCUCAGUUUUGUGGUCAUUCGAUUAAGAUAGAAACCAAAAUAAUGGCUCAGUGGAUGGGCCAGUUCGCUUGUUCGCACAUACUGGCUAGUACCUUUGGAACUCGUUAACUUGUUGUGGACUUUGUUUCUCGUUAACAUGCAAUUGGACUUUUAUAAUAAGAGAUCUUUGGAUCUGUUCUGUCAUCCCUUCCUCAUCAUUAAAGUUUUUAUUAGGGCACUUAUUUCUGUCUUUCUUUCAAUAUUAAUGAUUUGGUAAUAGAUGCUAAAUUUAUAAGGAGCUCAUUACAUGUUUUAGUCGUUAUUCUCUCUCCUUUAGCUCUGUGUCACACAUUAAGACUGAAGGGACUGAAGCUUGGGUUGAUAUGUGGCGGAGAUGGGCUCCACCAGACCACCCUAAGAAAAGUGGAGUGUGGGAGCGGUAUGGGCUAGCUGGCGUGGGUGGACAUGU